CAGUGCUUCAUGCAUGCUGGGCGAGCGCCCUACCACUGAGCCAGAUGUUAAAUCUUUUUAAAAUAGCUGGUCUAGCUUUUGUCCUCUGAUUAGACUCUGCCUGAAGAACAAGGGUUGAAAAUACUCACGGGAGAAAACAACAAUCACUCCAGUAGCUGAGAUUGCACACUCGGGUGUGUAAACAGCUGGAGGCAUUCAGAGUGAAUCUUCUCACUACCCCCAAAGAAACUGUAAUAUCAUCUUAAAUAAUGUUGAUGAUUGCUCCCCAGCAUUCUUGAGUUCACAGGUGAAGUGUAGUUGAUUUUCAUGAGUCUCUGAGAGACAAUGGGUCCUAUUUAUAAUUGCUGAGUCAGUGGCUUCGUAACUUAGACCUGCUCUUAUAGCCCUUGUUCCCAUAUUGUGCAAUUGCCUAGCUCUUAAGUCGAUCUUCAGAAGAUGCCUUUCUCACUGAAUCACUCAUUAGAUUGGCUUUUAGUUUCUUUGGCUCUUCCAGCCCAAGUCUAAUGACCUUGAAAAGGAAUUCUAAGCAAUGUAAAUAUCUUCAACCUAAUAGACUCCUGAAUUCUUUCAUUUUCUCAGGAACCCAUAACUUUUUAAGAAAAUACUUAAAUUUCAGCCUGAUAUCAGUUAAUAUCUCAUAGAGCUUUGUUUGUGAUCUGAUUUAUGGGGUCAUUCCAUUCUCUCUAGGCUGCCAACAGACACUUCUGCUGUCCACUUGAACAGUUUUGAGAAGGGCUCAAAAAUGGAAGACCUCUGGUUCUGGCCAGAGGGGAAUGGCUUAUAUUAAUCCUUGUGCCAAAAUAAUGAUGGUAAAAGCUAGGCAAAAUGUUUAAAGAACCUGCCUGAAGGAAUCGGAGAGCUCACAAUGCAGGCAGAACAGGAGAGGUUCUGAUCCCAGAGAGAAAACCAACAUACAAGAAGAGCUUCACAUUCUUCCUGGUUUUCCCCUGAGUGCAUUUUCCCCGUAACUGGUUAGGGAAGAGGGGGAGAGAGGUGAUAACAGAAAGCUGCCAUUUGACUGGGCUAAGAGGAGAGUUCAGGGUUACUAGAGGAGCUGGAACUUGAAGGUAAAUUGACAGAGAUGGCUGAAUGAGAAAUCUGCACACAAGUCCCCUUUACAUGGUGGUAGACUCCUAAGCUGAGCAAAUACAGUGAGAACUAGUAGCAAAAAGGAAAGCAGCAGCUGAGAUGCUAAAGAGAUUACUUUGUUUCAGCUCCUCCAUUAUGCCAAAGAGAUAGAAAUUCAAGUCUCAUUGAAGUGGACGGCUUUUGCAAACAUCCUCAGCUUUUGGAUGAGACUCCCCUAACAGUCACACCCUAGGAUAAGGGUCAUAAGAUGGUGGACUUAAAUAUAACUAUAUCAGUAAUUACAUUAAAUAUAAAUGGACUAAAUACACCAAUGAGAAGACCAAAAUAGUCAGACAAGAUAAAAAUAAUAAUAUGCUGCUCAUAUUAUUUAUGUUAGGAAUAAAUGUUAGGAAUCAGAAAGAUUGAAAUUAAAAGGAUGGAAAAAGAUACACCAUGUAAAAACUAGCCACAAAAACACAGUGUUGCUAAUUAGAAUCCUGCAAAUUUCAUUAUGAUAAAAGGUUGAGUCAAAGGGAUCCUAUAAAUUAUACACAUAAUUGUUAUUUAUCAACUAUACACCAAGCAUCAUCCAAAGCAUUUCACAUUGUUUGGCACAGUCUUCUGACCAAGUUUAUAAAGUCAAUUUUAUCACUCCAACUUUACUAGAUGAGGAAAUUGAAGCUCAGAGACGCUUGCCUGAGGUCAUACAACUGGAAAACAGUAGAGACAGGUUGUCUGAUCUCUUGCCAAAGAGCUUUUAAUCAUUGCUCAGCUUUCUAAGCACCACACU
rnacentral:lncRNA from 1 species